CUCAGGCCUCACCCCACACCUGGUGAACCCUGAUCUCGGCCGGGUGCUCAGCUCUGGAGGGCUUGCAAAGUCCUGCAAGUGUCUGUGCAUGGAGAAGAAAAUGAAUGUUUGGAGCCACAAAAUGCAGCAUGUGCUAAAGGAAGGUGAUCCAGUGCUCCGAAUCUGCUUGGUCCAUCAAGAAAUCUGAACUGUUAAUAUGUACUAGAGUCAUAGUUGAUGUUUUUCCCAUUUGAAAAGUCAUGGCGAUGGCCAGAUAUACAUUUCCCAGGAAGCAUUCUUCCGGAGUCUCCCUGUUUGAAAUGGCAAGAUUCUGCUCGAGAAGCUAAACAUCGUAUUUCUUUGGAGUCUCUGACCUGCUGCCAUUGUUUCUUAUGCACUGUUAAUUGUUGUUAAUUUCUAACACAUCAUUAAUUAUUUGCCAUUAAAGAUGUGGGAGACGGAAAUGCCCUUCACUCAUGGGUGAUCACACGAAUGAACCAUUAAUAAUUACAAAAAGUGUGUUACUUUAUACGUGAGAAGUGAAUUUGAGCCAUUUUCAUGGACUUCACCAUAUCUCUUAUGGCUGAGCUGUGACACAAGGUCACUGUGGGCGGGGGCAUUAUGAAAGACCUACUCCGGCUAAGGAAGAAGCUUCUGUAAUGACUGUAACAUUUGGCCUCUACAGCAUGAUGCACAUUUCUGAGAACUUUUUGUUUUUGCAACUUUUUCCUCCUUUGUGAGAGGAGCCUAGAGGUGAAAUAGUUUCCUCUGAUGUCACAGCCCAAGUCAGGCACACAAUUAGUACUUAAAGUGGAGCUCCCAACUCCCACUCCCAUUCAGCUACCAGGCUGUGCUGGGAGGUCAGCAGCGGGGCCCGGAGACUUCCACUCCCUCCUCAGGAUUUCUGAGAGCUCGAGUCAAGGCCAUUCUCCUGACACUGGGCUCCCAAUCUGUAAGAAAAAAAUACCCGAUUGCCAGAUACAGUUGAAAUUUUUAUGUAAGUGCCUUCCUCGAAAGCCCGGAGAUUCUUCUACAAGUUUAUAGCAAUAUUAAGCAUUAGACAUUACAUUGGAAAAAAGUAUCAGAUCCAGUCUUUAGGUUUAAUCACCCAGUAGAAAAACGUUAGAAUGCUGACAAAGGUUUGGAACAAGCCAGUGAAAAAAUAUUUUAUUGAUGCAGAUAUCAGCAGUGAAAUCAAGAUAGCUUAGAUUUUAUAGUUUAAACUUAGAGUUAUUGCAAGGAUAAUACUAUUUUAAAAGGUUUUAUUUUUGUAUUCACUAUGCAUGUAUACAUUAUGCAGUUCAUAGUGUCCACAUUCCUUAUGGGGAGGUGGUGCAUGUACAUAACACAUCUUAAUUCUUUUUCUCUCAUCCUUUUCCCCUCUACACCCUCCCUCCAUCUCUGAUUUCUUUCCCAUUUGAGAAAGCUCUAUCUUCCUACUAACUAUAGUCUAACUUGUGUUUUGCUCCUUAUUUAUAUUUUGAGUUUCUCAUAUAAGAGAAACCAUGUGGUAUUUAAGCUUGGGUAUGUGAGUUAUUUCACUUAACAUUAUGGUCUCAAGGUCAAUCCAUUUUCCUACAAAUGAUUCGAGUUUAUCAAGCAUAGUAUUUUUUUUUUAUCAAGGAUAGUAUUUUGAAGAUGACAAUUCUUUCUCUGUUUUGUUAAUAAAAGGACAGAGUCAGAGAAAAUCAAGAGAUCCUUCAGCUAUCGAUUUGAGAAUUAUGUCACUUGGUGGUGGGGCUUUAUAGUUUCGUAUUUUGGUUCUGUUCAUCAUCUUGACUGUGUUGUCAAGAGCAAAAGCAGAAUCUUCUCAUUCUUCCCAUUCCUUCCUCUUCUUUUUGCUUUGUGCUAGCCUAUGGGCAGGUCAGAGGGGAUAACUUUCUGCUUCCUGGUGUAGACUGAAAGUGGGUAAACCAGAUAGCUUGGGGCUACAGGGGACAUCAUGGACAGGUUGGAAGUCUGAACAAUGGCCUGAUUCUUAGAAACCCAUUUACCCUCCAGAGUUCCCAUUCUUUCUCACCUGUAAAGUGAAGCACUUAAAGAUUAACUCUGAAGGAUUAUUAGGUUAGAGUCUAAGGUCUAAAUUUUUCUGUAUUGUCCUCCUAUCAUUUUAACCAUUUCGUUUUAUUGCUACACAAUAAUCUAUGCCCAGAAAAUACUACAUUUUAUUUAUUCCCUCCCUUAUUAAUGUAUAUUUAGGCUGUUGAAAGUUUUUCUAUAAAAGUAAUGCUGCAAUAAACAUUUUUCUACAGAUCUCUUACAUGUAUCUGUAAAAAUUUUUCUAGAGUUUCAAUUUUUUAAAAUGGUGCCAAAUUAACCUCAAAAGUAACUAUACCAAGUUACCAAUCUUCAUUCCCUUCACUGCUACUCACAUAAACUGCAAUGAGGGAGCUGCCACUUUAUCACAACUAACUUCAUCUCUGUUCCCACUGCUUUCUUUCAGAUCUUUCCCAUCAGUCCUGGGGCUCUUUGAUAGGAAGCAAAUGGAGAGAGCCUACCUUGAAAUCAUGUUUUGCCCAACUUUUUUGUCUCUGACCUAAAUGUUUAUUUUCUGAAGGGGCUAGGCUUUGGAAAUACACAAGGCGUGAAAAGAAUUGUUCUGCUUAAUAUUUUCUCUUUCCUUUAGUUAAAGAGUACAGAUAGGUCUAGCUACUUGAGAAAGGGAGAAGAAAGAUCAAGAGGGGAGAAAGAAAUAUCAGAGAAAAAAAUCAGAUCAUAUUUUAAAAAUAUAUUUAAAAAUUUGUAUCCUUUAAAAUAAUGAAUGUAACAAUUUGAUUUUAUUAAAAAUAAUAAAAUUGCAUGAAACUUAAACUCUCUUGCACAGGGAAAUCUCUUACAUAGGGCCAUUGUUUUCAUCACACUCAUUAUUUCUGUAUUAUGGGAUAAUAUUCUAUUAUUUGUGUGUUUUAUAUUUCCUGUAGGAAGGCAAUGGUCUAGAAUUUUGUAGACCAGCUGGAUACAUGUCCAAGCAGGGAUAUGACAAGAGGAAAUCCAAGAAACACUUAGAAGGAGGAGUGUGAAUGAAGUGGGAAAUAGGGACAAAAAGCUCAGGAGGAGCUAAGCCAGGGAAUAAGAAGAAUGUCUAUUCCGUUGAUAAGCAAUGGGAGAGAACUGUGGCUUGGGAUGACAAGUGGAAGAUGAUGAAUUCGAAUUGGGCAGUACAGAAUAUUCCCAAGAGAUAUUCAUGCUGAGAGAUUUUCUUUUCCUCUAAAACUAAAGCCAAGUGGACCAAUGCUUUUGUUGUGUUACUCUGUAUUCUACAGAGACACUAUACAAUGUGGUCUAUUUCUCUUACCCAUUUCAAGUGUCAGCUAUCCUCCUUCAGCCUUCAGCCUUCUGCUGGUACUGUGCAUUUCAUUCUCAUCUCAAAUCCUAAACAUUUGAUCUUUGCAUAUGAGUGUGCAUGCACACCCAUCCUCCGAGGAAGGGUCAACUUUCUUCUGUGUUCCUGGAACUACCUCCUACUAACUUUACCCGAGAGCAUCUUUGCAUGUGGGUGGCCUUAUCACACACAUUUCCUAUAUCUCAGGCAAAGUAAGUUACCUCUUUUCCAGGUGAGUGUUCUACUGGGGGUUUCUGGUUGCCUCAGUAGAAUAAAUCCCAACUCCUCCUUUUUAUCUCCAUAGCACAUGGGUAUUCCUUGCCCCAUUCAAAAUUUUGGAAAAAUAAAUUAUUCAGACAAUUUUAUUCAGUUCCCCAACUUUCACGUCCCACCACACCAAGACUAGAGAUACCUCAGUGCUGACUGCUCAGUUCUGCCCAGCAGCCAGAGGAAAAUAAAACAAGGUUAUUUGAAACACUUUUUUAAACAGACUGCUCUGAGAUAUCAGUGAUGUCCUGUUUCUAGGACAAAGAAUUAUUGCUGCGAUCUCAUAGUUGCUCUUUUCAAGGACUCGGGUGUAAAGGUUAUGAAGAGCUAUUCAAACUCAUUUAUUUCUAGUUCACUUCUCACUUCCUGAACUGCCUUUCAAUGUGCAAUGGAACUUCUGUUCAGUCUUAGGCCAGUUAAUGCCACAGAGGCUCCCAAGAUUGUACAAAUGAGGGUUUAUUCAUUUCUUUACCUCUUCAGCCAACAUUUCUUGAGGACCUUGGCAUGCUAAGCACACAUCCAUAUAGAUGCUGAAGGUCAAAGACAUCCUGAGAAAUGCAACCUGGAGUGGACCCCGACUGCAAACAACUGGCUAUGGCCAACUUGAUACAAAUUGACCAUUAUUUGCUUUGUUUCUUUUUUCUAUAUUUCUCAUUCUUUUUUCUCUUUCUCGUUUUUGGUAUGCUUUCUCUUUUUCAUUAUCAUAUACCAUAUUAUAUAUAUUAUAUUCAAAAGGCCAACUUUGUCCUUUCUUGUUUCCUCUACUUAUUCCACAGUAGAAAUAUUUAUCGAUGGAUGAAAGACAAACCACUACCCUGUCCAACUCAAGGUCAUGGUUGCAUUUUUAAGCAUUCUAGAACAUACCAGAAGAAUGGGGAAAAAAGUGUGUAAACUAUUUAAUGAGUAAAUAAAACUAUUGGAAAAAGAAUAAGGGUUUAUGGCUUAGAAAGAAGGCCCAUAUUUUUUGAACAAAAAGCCAGCUCCUGGAUUAGUCAAGACUGGCUGGGUUUUGUUGUAGUAAUAAACAACAUCCAAAUGUCAGUGGCUUAAUCCAACAAAAGUUUAUUUGUUGUUGAUGCUACAUGUCCAACAUGGUCCUCUUGAGGUCCUGUUGAGGAAUCCAGGUUACCAAGUACUCAGUCAUCUCAAUUCCUACCUCCAAGAUCACUUGCAGGGAAGGAGGGAGACGGAGGUUCUUCUGUUGACAAUCAAAUGUGUUGGCCUGGAAGUGGCACAUAGUAGCUCAGCUCACAGAGACAUACAAAGUCACAUGGCCUAUCCAACUGCAAAGCACCUAAACAGCAAGCCUCUAAAUGACUGGAAGGAGAGGAUGCCUUACUCUUUGUGAAACUAGUAGUGUCCACUACAGCAAUCAGGAUGACCAAGAUGAAAGUGAAGUCUAUGAAAAAUCCUCAAUGUCUGAUUGCUAUGCUUGAAGGAUAAGUGCAGAACAAGUGUCUUAUGAUUUGCAACAAAAGGGUUCACUCCUAACCUCUCCAUCUACUGUGUUGCAAAUGGGUUUUUUUUUGGCUACCCAGCCCCUUGCAGCCUCAUGGCACCCUCUUCCAUGGAUCCCUGUUUGUGAAGGGACCAUCUUAAACUUAUCCUUUUAUCUAAUAAAAUAUCAAUCUUAAAUUACUAAGAAAAUUCAACCCUAAGAUAAUGCUCUUAAUUUACUCCUUUAAUUAAGGGAAGCAUGAAGUUUGUAAGUCUUGGGCCAUUAGGAAGCAUAAAUGUUGUGAGCCAAGGCUGGGAGGCCAUCUCUCCCCUUUGACAGUGUGGUGAAGCGAGGCUGCCCACCAGGGUGUCAAGGGUGACAGGAUAGCUCUAUCUAUUGAGGCCACCAACCUGAACACAUAGCCAAGUGCAUCACCUCCCUCGGACGCAUUCUCUCAAAGUGAAAUUAACUUUAUGAGGUGUGCAGUUGUAAAGGCUUUUUAGAGGGUUUCACAUAAUGUCCCAGGAGUUUUUAGACAAGUGACUUUUGGGUAGCUGUAAACUAAUUAGCAUACACUUCUAGACUUCCAGAAACCCCCAAAGAUCAAGGUCCUAAGUGUUAUGCACUAAGAGUGGGUACAUGGACAUGACUGACCUCUUGAUGAGGGUCAGUCUAAAAGAGGAGAAAGCUGAGAAAAUCAGCCUGACACAGUUAUAGUAGUUAAGAACCUAAACUCCAAAUCCAGGCUGAUUAUGAGUUUGAGUCUUAGCUUUCCACUUAUAAGCACAUAUGAGCUUGAACAAGUUAUGUAACAUCUUUAAGCUUUAAUUUCUCAUAUGAUGAGGAUUAAAAUAGUAUUUUUCUCACAUGCUGAUAGCACAGGAUGGUGAUAGCACAGGACCUGGCUCAUUCUAAGCAGUCAGAAUACAUUAAGUAUUACCAGUUUCUGUGAUUUUCAAUAUUGUUCAGGGUAGCUAGCAUGUAUUGAGUGUGCACCACAAGCAAAUCACUGUAUUUGAGUAAACGUGGCAGCAUGUGCAAUUUAAGGGAUUUGCAAAUGUGUGUGUGUGUGUGUGUGUGUGUGUGAGAGAGAGAGAGAGAGAGAGAGAGAGAGAGAGAGAGAGAGAAGCUUAGAUGUAAGAAUAAAAUGGAGAGAAAAGUAGCAGGAUAGGAAAAAUGUAAGAUAAUUAAAACAAAAAGGGCUAACAUUUAAUUGUGGGCGUCCUCUGUAAUAGGCACUUUGCACAGACAGAUUUAGAUAUAAUUGAUCUCAUUUACUCUUCACAUAAUACUAUGAGUAGGCAUUAAUAAGCCUUAGAAAGAUCAGUCAAUCUGCAGUGUCUGACAUGUGUGGGUCGGGAUGUGGAGGGGGGUGUAGUCCAGAUUGGCCGGGCAUAGGAGAGGACCGGCUGAGAGAUACACCAUGUACCAGGUGCUCUAAGGAAGCCUUGUCCACCAGCACAGGUGGCCAUUGCCUGUGCCAUGUCCAAGGCCAUCUUUAAUUUUGGUCACAUAGUCCUUAACGGUGUGCAGUAUGAGAUUGCCUUGAGAAGGACCCCAUUUCUUUGAGAAGCUUGAAAACUAAAACACAUUCAGGAUGUGCUGAAGCUCAGCUUCAAAUCAUGUAGCAAGUCCAGAACAAGCCAGGAAAUGGCAGUCAAUGGGUGCCAGUGAAAAUGUCACAGUGAUCCACGGUUGACCACUAGAUGGAGCCCUGAUGGGCACAGUGACAAACCUGAGGACAGCAGGUGCAACCCAAACCAGCCUUCCCAUCCCUCCACCUCCAGGGCACAGAGAAGUUUUUGGGACAUCUAUUUGUCUUUCCAACACUACAAGGCCAAGACACCGUCAAUACCAUGGCUUUUACCCCCCUCCCGUAUGCUUUACCGUGAGUUCAUAGAUCAAACGUAAAAGUUGGAAAGUGUAAGGAAACUUGGAAACUUGCAUGUUCAUCUAGACUUUUACCCCAUUAGCACUUUGGGGAAAAGAGGGAAUCUCCAUUUAAAAUCUCCCCUGAAAUAACCUUGUGGGCUUAUCUGAAAUUAGCACCUUCAGAAGUCUUGCUCUGCCCUCUCAGUUGAGCUCACCUACUUGCAUCUUGAUCUUAUACUCGAUAUGCUCCUCUAGUCAGAUAAGAAGAGUACUGAAGUGAUUCUGGAUUGUAGACCAAACUUAAUGGUAUCUGAGGAUAGGAGUCCAGCCUGGGGUUUAGGAUUUUCCCUUUUUUAUUUGUGUAUGAUUUAGUGUUCAUCCUGCACUAGACACUAAAGUGCAUUGUUUAAUUAUCUGAGCUCAACACACCAUUUUAUAAUUCAUUAGUCAGUUGCUCUUUGCAAAAGCUUAUUUCUUAUGAAACUAAAGUGAGACUCAUGCAACUCGACUAUUUAUCUCUCUUUAGGGGUUGGGGGUUAAUAUCUGAUAGCUCAUAACAUCUUUAUUAUAAUGCAUUUAUAAUGAUUUACUAGAAUCAUUCUAUGGCUAAGUAUCUAAUGUCAAAGCUGGGAUCUGGCAUGAAAUAAAAUGCUAUAUCCUCGGGUAGCUCUAGGGAAAAAAAGGCCUCAGCCAAUAUUUUCUGUGUAAUUCUACAAACUGUAAUAAGGGUAGGGGUAAUUGCCUUAAUGUCAAUUAAGCUAUUAAUAAUGCCCAUCUUGUCAUUCCUAAAUAUAGCAGUGUCUCAAUCAUACAUUACUGUCCCCCCAUUAAGGCUACACAGAAAUGAGAUCAGAGCCUGUGUGGAUGGGGGAGUCUGUCUAAUACUAGUCCUAUCUCCUUUAUAUAAGGGAAGGUUGGGGGUUUAUUUGUGUUUUCGAUGGAUAAUUUUUACCUAGAUGCACAUGCGUGCAUGCGUGUGUGUGUGUGUGUGUGUGUGUGUGCGUGCGCGCGUGCAUGUGAGGGCAGCAUGGGCAAUAUUCAUGAGCAGAAUGAAUGUGGCCGAAAACACUGUCCCUGCUCCUGUUCUGCUCCUGGAUGACUAGGACAAGUAUGCUCUACCAGGACAAGAGUUCCAGGGGCUGAGCUGCAGGCUGAUGGGUCAGACAGUCCACUAACCACACGGCAUUUCAGCAUCAGGGGACACAUUUUCUGCACUGUUGUAUGUUGCUCCCAGGCUGCAUGGAUGCGUACAAGUUCCUCAAGGACAGACAGACUCAGGGGAAAGAAAAUGAGGCCAAGACAUGGUCACGGAGUAGAAAGGCGGCCAGUGGUUCCUCAGCAAAUUUCAGCAGACAAGGUCAAGGCUAAAGGUAUAUUAGGAAUAGGAAAUAGGAGACGAGCUGUAGGAUUUUGGUGAACAAAGAGAAUGUUGCCAACUCUCUUUAGUCAGGUCUAAACCAGAACACUUAUUUUAUAGAGAAGAAGCAGGAUAAGACCCUUCUUCAGUUGGCACUUAUAAUUCUCCUGGGUGAGGAUUCUGAGGAGCCACUUCCUUCUGUCCCCUUUAUUGGCUGUCUUGGUGAAGUGAACUUCUACUUGAUGAUAUUUAGAGCUCAUUAAUUUGUCCCAAGGAAGCUUACUGUAUGGCAGUUUAAUGACAGAAACCUGUUUUAAUGCAAAUGGACAUGUAAUCCCACUAAGACACUCUGAGGAUGUAAAUUUAAAACAAUUGCUAGGAAGUGACACCAGAGUUUAAUAAGAUGGAAGGCUAGUUUCUAGUUCCUGGCACACCCAGGGGAUCCUGCUUGGACACCCAGCCCUGGCAGUUUUAGUGCAGCUGGCGGUUACCAUGGCAAUUGAAAGCAGAGGGUGCCUCAGAGGCAAGGCAAGCUCCUCUCAGGUGCAAGGAGCUGAGCUCCACAGGGUGGGCAGGGGG
ensembl:lncRNA